rnacentral:rRNA from 1 species
AGGACGAACGCUGGCGGCGUGCUUAACACAUGCAAGUCGAGCGGAAAGGCCCUUCGGGGUACUCGAGCGGCGAACGGGUGAGUAACACGUGAGCAACCUGCCCUUAGCUCUGGGAUAGCUCCGGGAAACCGGAAUUAAUACCGGAUAUUACACCGGCUGGCAUCGGCUGGUGUGGAAAGAUUUAUCGGCUAAGGAUGGACUCGCGGCCUAUCAGCUUGUUGGUGGGGUAGAGGCCUACCAAGGCGACGACGGGUA